rnacentral:rRNA from 1 species
AUUGAACGCUGGCGGCAGGCCUAACACAUGCAAGUCGAGCGGAUGACGGGAGCUUGCUCCUUGAUUCAGCGGCGGACGGGUGAGUAAUGCCUGGGAAUCUGCCUGGUAGUGGGGGACAACGUUUCGAAAGGAACGCUAAUACCGCAUACGUCCUACGGGAGAAAGCAGGGGACCUUCGGGCCUUGCGCUAUCAGAUGAGCCUAGGUCGGAUUAGCUAGUAGGUGAGGUAAUGGCUCACCUAGGCGACGAUCCGCAACUGGUCUGAGAGGAUGAUCAGUAACACUGGAACUGAGACACGGUCCAGACUCCUACGGGAGGCAGCAGUGGGGAAUAUUGGACAAUGGGCGAAAGCCUGAUCCAGCCAUGCCGCGUGUGUGAAGAAGGUCUUCGGAUUGUAAAGCACUUUAAGUUGGGAGGAAGGGCAGUAAGUUAAUACCUUGCUGUUUUGACGUUACCGACAGAAUAAGCACCGGCUAACUCUGUGCCAGCCGCCGCGGUAACAC